rnacentral:rRNA from 1 species
GACGAACGCUGGCGGCGUGCCUAAUACAUGCAAGUAGAACGCUGAAGGAGGAGCUUGCUUCUCUGGAUGAGUUGCGAACGGGUGAGUAACGCGUAGGUAACCUGCCUGGUAGCGUGGGAUAACUAUUGGAAACGAUAGCUAAUACCGCAUAAGAGUAGAUGUUGCAUGACAUUUGCUUAAAAGGUGCAAUUGCAUCACUACCAGAUGGACCUGCGUUGUAUUAGCUAGUUGUUGGGGUAACGGCUUACCAAGGCGACGAUACAUAGCCGACCUGAGAGGGGGAUCGGCCACACUGAGACUGAGACACGGCCCAGACUCCUACGGGAGGCAGCAGGAGGGCAUCUUCGGCAAUAGACGGAAGUCUGACCGAGCAACGCCGCGUGCGUGAAGAAGGUUUCCGGAUCGUAAAGCUCUGUUGUAAGAGAAGAACGCGUGUGAGCGUGGAAAGUUCACACUGUGACGGUAUCUUACCAGAAAGGGACGGCUAACUACGUG